rnacentral:rRNA from 1 species
CCCCCCCUACGGGGCGCAGCAGUGGGGAAUAUUGCACAAUGGGGGGAACCCUGAUGCAGCGACGCCGCGUGAAGGAAGAAGUAUUUCGGUAUGUAAACUUCUAUCAGCAGGGAAGAAAAUGACGGUACCUGACUAAGAAGCCCCGGCUAACUACGUGCCAGCCGCCGCGGUAAUACGUAGGGGGCAAGAGUUAUCCGGAUUUACUGGGUGUAAAGGGAGCGUAGGCGGCGAUGCAAGUCAGAAGUGAAAGCCCGGGGCUCAACUCCGGGACUGCUUUUGAA